rnacentral:rRNA from 1 species
AUUGAACGCUGGCGGCAUGCCUUACACAUGCAAGUCGAACGGUAGCGGGCCUUCGGGUGCCGACGAGUGGCGAACGGGUGAGUAAUGUAUCGGAACGUACCUUUCAGUGGGGGAUAACGUAGCGAAAGUUGCGCUAAUACCGCAUAUUCUGUGAGCAGGAAAGCAGGGGAUCGCAAGACCUUGCGCUGAUUAAGCGGCCGAUAUCAGAUUAGCUAGUUGGUGAGGUAAAGGCUCACCAAGGCGACGAUCUGUAGCGGGUCUGAGAGGAUGAUCCGCCACACUGGAACUGAGACACGGUCCAGACUCCUACCGGAGGCAGCAGUGGGGAAUUUUGGACAAUGGGGGCAACCCUGAUCCAGCCAUGCCGCGUGAGUGAAGAAGGCCUUCGGGUUGUAAAGCUCUUUCGGCCGGGAAGAAAUCGUAUCAGCUAAUACCUGGUGCGGAUGACGGUACCGGCAUAAGAAGCACCGGCUAACUACGUGCCAGCCGCCGCCGUAAGAC